GGGCCUGUAGCUCAGCCAGGUCAGAGCGCUGGUCUUAUAAGCCGGAGGUCCUGGGUUCGAACCCCAGCAGGCCCA
rnacentral:tRNA from 1 species